AAAUAUCCAAAGGGUACACAUAUUUCCUACAUUUUGAGAUAAGGGGAAACGGACGUUACUUAUUGGUGUUGAAAGCCUGCUACGAGUAGGAAUCCUAAAAAUAAGUACAGUUUACCCACCUGGAAUUACGCCGGGAAUAGAUCUCGCUCUUUGGGAAUUAG
rnacentral:other from 1 species